rnacentral:lncRNA from 1 species
GUUGCUGACAUCUACACCACCUUGCUCUGGUUGUGGUAUACACAGGCUGGCAGCUCUGCUCCAAUUGGACCCCUAGCCUGGGAGCUGCCAUAUGCCGCAGGUACAGCCCUGUAAAGGAAAAAAAAAAAGAAAAAGACAGCUUGAGUUCCCUAGUGGCUCAGCAGGUUUUGGGUUGUUUUUUUGUUUUUGGUUUUGUUUUUUUUCCCGUUUAAAAAAAUUUUAUUGAAGUGUAGUUGAUUUACAAGUUGUGAUAUUUUCUGCUCUACAACAGAGUGAUUCAGUUACACGUAUACACACAUCCAUUCUUUCUCAGAUUCUCUUCCCAUAUAGAUGAUCACAGAAUAUUGACUGGGUAGAGUUCCCUGUGCUGUACAGCAGGUCACCAGUGGCCCGUCAUUCAAUAUACAACGUGCGUGUGCCAAUCUCGAAUCCCCAGUUCACCCCUCCCCCCACCCCACCCGUCUCCUUGGGUCACCACAGGUUUGUUUACAAAGUCUGUGAGUCUGUGUCUGUGCUACAAUAAGUUCAUCUGUAUCUUUUAGACUCCGCGUGUAAGACUCCGCGUGUAAGUGAUAUCCUGUGAUGUUUGUUUUUCACUACUUCACUUAGUAUCUCUAGGUCCCAUCAAUGUUGCCGCAAAUGGCAUUAUUUCAUUCCUUUUUAUGGCUAAUGUUCCAUUGUGUGUAUAUAUAUAUGUACACACACACACACACACACACACACCCCACAUCUUCUUUAUACAGCAUAUACACGGGACUUGUUCUUGUAUCCAUUCAGCCAGUCUAUGUCUUUUGGUUGGAGCAUUUAGUCCAUUUACAUUUAAGGUCAUUAUUGAUAUGUAUGUUCUUAUUGCCCUUUGGUUAAUUGUUUUGGAUUUGUUUGUGUUGAUUUUCUCUGGCCCUUUAUCUCUUGGCCUUUUUUCUUCCCUUUUGUUCUCUUCUCUUGUGGUUUGAUGACUAUCUUUAGUGCUGUGUUUGAAUUGCAUCUGUUGUAGAUUUUUGGUUGGUGGUAACCAUGAGGUUUUGAUGUAGGCGUCUACAUAUACACACAAGAGUGCUUUAAGUUGCUGGUCUCUUCAUUGCAAAUGCAUUUCCAGGGUCCUGCGUUUGUCCCUCCUCUGCUCCCAGUGGCUGCUUUGGUGGCACGUGUGUGUGGAGGAUCUCCUACCUUCACUGAUGUUCGCCUUUACUGGGGAGCCUCCUCAUUUGUAAUUUUCUUCUUUCUAGUUGUGGCCUUUUCUUUCCAGCUAGAGAAGUUCCUGUAGUAUUUGUUGUAAAGCUGGUUUGGUGGCACUGAAUUCUCUUAGCUUUUGCUUGUCUGUAAAGGUUUUGAUUUCUCCUUCAACUCUGAAGGAAAGCCUUGCUGGGUAGCGUCAUCCUGGUUGCAGGUGUUUUCCUUUCAUCACUUUAAGUAUAUCGUGCCACUCCCUUCUGGCCCGCAGAGUUUCUGCUGAAAAAUGAGCUGAUAACCUUAUCUGGGUUCCCUUGUGUGUUAUUUGUUGCUUUUCCCUAGCUGCUUUCAGUAUUUGUUCUUUGACUUUAAUGGUGGUCAGUUUGAUUAAUAUGUGUCUUGGUGUGUUUCUCCUUGGGUUUAUUCUAUAUGGUAUUCAUUGUGCUUCCUGGAUUUGAGUGAGUGAGUCCUUUCCCAUGUUAGGGAAUUUUUCUGCUAUUAUUUCCUCAAAUAGCUGUGCAGCAGGUUAAGGAUCCUGUCUUGUCUUGUCACUGCUGUGGUGUGGAUUUGAUCCCUGGCCUAGGAACUUCUGCAUGCUAAGGGUGCCAGUCAAAAAAAAAAAAAA